UUAAUCAAGAUUUUGCAUCUUUAAUUUUCAAACAUGUUGCGUGGUACUGAGUUUCAUUAACAGUAACAACAGUGGCAUGGACUCAUGCAUUGUCGGAAAAUUCUGCAUCUCUAUUGUUUUGGCAAUAUUAGUCAUAACCAAUUAUGUUGUUUUCAUUUUAUUUUGAUCAAGUCAGUCCGGUUAGUGUUUUGUAUAGCCAUAAAAUAUCGAUAGUUUUUUACUCAGAU
rnacentral:lncRNA from 1 species